AACGCACAUUGCGCCCCUUGGUAUUCCGAGGGGCAUGCCUGUUCGAGCGUCAUUAACACCCCUCAAGCAGUAUGCUUGGUCUUGGGGCGCGCCAGGUUGGCCGCCCUUAAAUUCAGUGGCGGGUCUGUACAGUCCUAAGCGUAGUAAACCUUUCGCUCUGGGUCUCUGCAGUCCCUGCCAGUAAACCCGUGCAUCUGCACCAAUGUUUGACCUCGGAUCAGGUAGGAAUACCCGCUGAACUUAA
rnacentral:misc_RNA from 1 species